rnacentral:rRNA from 1 species
UAGGGAAUCUUCGGCAAUGGGGGGAACCCUGACCGAGCAACGCCGCGUGAGUGAAGAAGGUUUUCGGAUCGUAAAGCUCUGUUGUUAAGGAAGAACGAGUGUGAGAAUGGAAAGUUCAUGCUGUGACGGUACUUAACCAGAAAGGGACGGCUAACUACGUGCCAGCAGCCGCGGUAAUACGUAGGUCCCGAGCGUUGUCCGGAUUUAUUGGGCGUAAAGAGCUUGUAGGCGGUUCGUCGCGUCUGGUGUGAAAGCCCAUCGCUUAACGGUGGGUUUGCGCCGGGUACGGGCGGGCUAGAGUGCAGUAGGGGAGACUGGAAUUCCCGGUGUAACGGUGGAAUGUGUAGAUAUCGGGAAGAACACCAAUGGCGAAGGCAGGUCUCUGGGCUGUUACUGACGCUGAGAAGCGAAAGCGUGGGGAGCGAACAGG